UCUGUAGCAAGGUUAACCGAAUAGGGGAGCCGAAGGGAAACCGAGUCUUAACCGGGCGUUAAGUUGCAGGGUAUAGACCCGAAACCCGGUGAUCUAGCCAUGGGCAGGUUGAAGGUUGGGUAACACUAACUGGAGGACCGAACCGACUAAUGUUGAAAAAUUAGCGGAUGACUUGUGGCUGGGGGUGAAAGGCCAAUCAAACCGGGAGAUAGCUGGUUCUCCCCGAAAGCUAUUUAGGUAGCGCCUCGUGAAUUCAUCUCCGGGGGUAGAGCACUGUUUCGGCAAGGGGGUCAUCCCGACUUACCAACCCGAUGCAAACUGCGAAUACCGGAGAAUGUUAUCACGGGAGACACACGGCGGGUGCUAACGUCCGUCGUGAAGAGGGAAACAACCCAGACCGCCAGCUAAGGUCCCAAAGUCAUGGUUAAGUGGGAAACGAUGUGGGAAGGCCCAGACAGCCAGGAUGUUGGCUUAGAAGCAGCCAUCAUUUAAAGAAAGCGUAAUAGCUCACUGGUCGAGUCGGCCUGCGCGGAAGAUGUAACGGGGCUAAACCAUGCACCGAAGCUGCGGCAGCGACACUGUGUGUUGUUGGGUAGGGGAGCGUUCUGUAAGCCUGUGAAGGUGUGCUGUGAGGCAUGCUGGAGGUAUCAGAAGUGCGAAUGCUGACAUAAGUAACGAUAAAGCGGGUGAAAAGCCCGCUCGCCGGAAGACCAAGGGUUCCUGUCCAACGUUAAUCGGGGCAGGGUGAGUCGACCCCUAAGGCGAGGCCGAAAGGCGUAGUCGAUGGGAAACAGGUUAAUAUUCCUGUACUUGGUGUUACUGCGAAGGGGGGACGGAGAAGGCUAUGUUGGCCGGGCGACGGUUGUCCCGGUUUAAGCGUGUAGGCUGGUUUUCCAGGCAAAUCCGGAAAAUCAAGGCUGAGGCGUGAUGACGAGGCACUACGGUGCUGAAGCAACAAAUGCCCUGCUUCCAGGAAAAGCCUCUAAGCAUCAGGUAACAUCAAAUCGUACCCCAAACCGACACAGGUGGUCAGGUAGAGAAUACCAAGGCGCUUGAGAGAACUCGGGUGAAGGAACUAGGCAAAAUGGUGCCGUAACUUCGGGAGAAGGCACGCUGAUAUGUAGGUGAAGUCCCUCGCGGAUGGAGCUGAAAUCAGUCGAAGAUACCAGCUGGCUGCAACUGUUUAUUAAAAACACAGCACUGUGCAAACACGAAAGUGGACGUAUACGGUGUGACGCCUGCCCGGUGCCGGAAGGUUAAUUGAUGGGGUCAGCGCAAGCGAAGCUCUUGAUCGAAGCCCCGGUAAACGGCGGCCGUAACUAUAACGGUCCUAAGGUAGCGAAAUUCCUUGUCGGGUAAGUUCCGACCUGCACGAAUGGCGUAAUGAUGGCCAGGCUGUCUCCACCCGAGACUCAGUGAAAUUGAACUCGCUGUGAAGAUGCAGUGUACCCGCGGCAAGACGGAAAGACCCCGUGAACCUUUACUAUAGCUUGACACUGAACAUUGAGCCUUGAUGUGUAGGAUAGGUGGGAGGCUUUGAAGUGUGGACGCCAGUCUGCAUGGAGCCGACCUUGAAAUACCACCCUUUAAUGUUUGAUGUUCUAACGUGGACCCGUGAUCCGGGUUGCGGACAGUGUCUGGUGGGUAGUUUGACUGGGGCGGUCUCCUCCUAAAGAGUAACGGAGGAGCACGAAGGUUGGCUAAUCCUGGUCGGACAUCAGGAGGUUAGUGCAAUGGCAUAAGCCAGCUUGACUGCGAGCGUGACGGCGCGAGCAGGUGCGAAAGCAGGUCAUAGUGAUCCGGUGGUUCUGAAUGGAAGGGCCAUCGCUCAACGGAUAAAAGGUACUCCGGGGAUAACAGGCUGAUACCGCCCAAGAGUUCAUAUCGACGGCGGUGUUUGGCACCUCGAUGUCGGCUCAUCACAUCCUGGGGCUGAAGUAGGUCCCAAGGGUAUGGCUGUUCGCCAUUUAAAGUGGUACGCGAGCUGGGUUUAGAACGUCGUGAGACAGUUCGGUCCCUAUCUGCCGUGGGCGCUGGAGAACUGAGGGGGGCUGCUCCUAGUACGAGAGGACCGGAGUGGACGCAUCACUGGUGUUCGGGUUGUCAUGCCAAUGGCACUGCCCGGUAGCUAAAUGCGGAAGAGAUAAGUGCUGAAAGCAUCUAAGCACGAAACUUGCCCCGAGAUGAGUUCUCCCUGACCCUUUAAGGGUCCUGAAGGAACGUUGAAGACGACGACGUUGAUAGGCCGGGUGUGUAAGCGCAGCGAUGCGUUGAGCUAACCGGUACUAAUGAACCGUGAGGCUUAACCUUACAACGCCGAAGGUGUUU
rnacentral:rRNA from 1 species